AAACAUUUUAUUGUAUAAUACUCCCUUCAUGAUGUUUUAUAUAUUUUAACAUUCUGUUUUGGAAUUUUCCAUUCAUUGCUUUAUGAAAACUUUUCCUCCGAACAGAAAUGGUAAACCUCUACAAUGUUGUCGUAAUUACAAAAGACAUGGUGAUUCAUGUGAAGAAUGUUGGCCAGGCACGUUUGGCAUAGCUUGCAAGGAGAACUGUCCUGACGGGUUCUAUGGACGUUUGUGUGCAGAAGUAUGUGAUUGUCCAUCGUGUGACAAGGUCUCUGGGUGUAAUUUUUCAACUCAGACUGACAAUUCCAAUAAUGAGAGCGCUAUCAUUGGUUCAUCAUUGGCAGGAAGUCUUACUUUCAUAAUAGUUAUCGUCAUCUACUGAAAAAAGAGCAGAAACAGAACAUUAAUGACUUCAGAUUCAUGAUUCAAAAAGGUGAUUCUAACUUAUAUUCCGUAUCAAAGAUGUUUAAAGUAAAUGAAUAUUAUAGGAGAAGUUUACAUUUUUCUAGAAAUGUACUAAACUAUACACACAUGUGGAUUACAAGUCAGUAGGAUACUAUUGAAUGGAUUCCCUCAACUCAGUCCAUCUUCCAUUAACGAAUCUAAUAGUGGUGAUCCAGAAUCAACAUUUCAUGGCGAGAAAGGACUAAGACCAUGUUUAGCUAUAUCAGCCCUGUGGUGUGUUAAAAAAUAAAGCAGAAUGAAUUGAAAUAAAA